AUUGAACGCUGGCGGCAGGCCUAACACAUGCAAGUCGAACGGUAACAGGAAGAAGCUUGCUUCUUUGCUGACGAGUGGCGGACGGGUGAGUAAUGCCUGGGAAACUGCCUGAUGGAGGGGGAUAACUACUGGAAACGGUAGCUAAUACCGCAUAACGUCGCAAGACCAAAGAGGGGGACCUUCGGGCCUCUUGCCAUCGGAUGUGCCCAGAUGGGAUUAGCUAGUAGGUGGGGUAACGGCUCACCUAGGCGACGAUCCCUAGCUGGUCUGAGAGGACGACCAGCCACACUGGAACUGAGACACGGUCCAGACUCCUACGGGAGGCAGCAGUGGGGAAUAUUGCACAAUGGGCGCAAGCCUGAUGCAGCCAUGCCGCGUGUAUGAAGAAGGCCUUCGGGUUGUAAAGUACUUUCAGCGGGGAGGAAGGGAGUAAAGUUAAUACCUUUGCUCAUUGACGUUACCCGCAGAAGAAGCACCGGCUAACUCCGUG
rnacentral:rRNA from 1 species